AUUGAACGCUGGCGGCAGGCCUAACACAUGCAAGUCGAGCGGAAACGAGUUAUCUGAACCUUCGGGGAACGAUAACGGCGUCGAGCGGCGGACGGGUGAGUAAUGCCUAGGAAAUUGCCCUGAUGUGGGGGAUAACCAUUGGAAACGAUGGCUAAUACCGCAUAAUGCCUACGGGCCAAAGAGGGGGAUCUUCGGACCUCUCGCGCUAAGAUUGGCCCAGGUGGGAUUAGCUAGUAGGUGGGGUAAAGGCUCACCUAGGCGACGAUCCCUAGCUGGUCUGAGAGGAUGAUCAGCCACACUGGAACUGAGACACGGUCCAGACUCCUACGGGAGGCAGCAGUGGGGAAUAUUGCACAAUGGGCGCAAGCCUGAUGCAGCCAUGCCGCGUGUGUGAAGAAGGCCUUCGGUUGUAAACUUUCAGUCGUGAGGAA
rnacentral:rRNA from 1 species